rnacentral:lncRNA from 1 species
UCUGAUUUUUCCACAUAACCAACGAGCUAGAAACUCUUUCCCUCAGAGAUAUGACUUUACCUGUCAGCUUAUAUCACACUCUCACCAUGUCUCUCUGGGUUAAAAUGUUAUCACUCUCAAAUCACAAUAUGCAAUAUCAAAUCAGAAGUUUGAAUAAAUUCUCUCAUCCUAUCAACAUGUACAAUCACACAAACUUUUUGAGG